AAUUUGAAUCUUUUUGUAGCCGGGGAACUUAUAUAUCAGAAAAACAUAUUAAGUCCAAGGAAAGAAAGGGUAGAUUAAAAUUAUUGAAGCGUUUAAUGUAUCUUAGUUCCACAUACAGCUUUUCCAUUCUAAAAUCUUAUUAUGCCGCUGUGCUCAGAGAGAUAGAAUUGGGUGAAAAAUCAUGGUCAAAUGAUUUUCAUUAUUUAGAAGUGGCAAUUUUACAUAAGUCAGGGCCAACGGUCAAGGGUAACCCGGGUGGAUUCAAAAGUAAAUCACAAUUUAAACCCAAAUAUGAUACAAAAACAGAAGAGAGCAAAGAUGAAUCACCAGUUUGGUUCUGUUCUCUAUAUCAAAGAAACAAAUGUCAACAUAAAUCAGGUCAUAUGGUAGUUGUCAAGGGCCAGAUGAGACUAGCACAACAUAUUUAUGCUACUUGCUGGCAAAAAGACCGCAAAAAGCUGCAGCAUCCAGAAAGUUCUAGUGAAUGUGUUCACAUGUCCGCUUGACUGGUUAAUACAAUAGUGUCUUUUGAAAAUAAAAUAGAAGACAUUUUUUUACCAAAAUUUUGUUAUACCAAAACAAAGAAAAUUGAUAAAAUUUGCAACCACGAGGUCAUUUCCAUUGAUAAUUUUGAUACAACAAGUGUUCCAUUUACUUCACAUACAAAUACUUGCAAAUUAUGUAUUCAGGUCAAGAAAAGUCCCAGUUUUUUGAAAGUUAAUGAUAGAAUUAGAAUGCAUGAAUUAGUAAAACAAUCAGGCAAGCAUAAUUUUGAAAAGUGUCGUUUUAAAGUAAAUAAUAAAAUAGACACAGAUUAUUUGAGACGAAAUCUUGAGAAUUUUGGUUAUAAAGAUUUACUGGUUUGCGAUUUGAUUGAAUUUGGAUUUCCAAUAGGUUUCACAGGAGAUGAUAGUUUGUUUCCCCUUCCCAAACCAGUGUGGCAAUAUAAAAAUUAUCAAGGUGCCAAUGAAUUUCCAAAGCAAAUGUCAGAGUAUUUAAUUAAGGAGAUGAACGAAGAUGCUAUUAUUGGUCCAUUUAAGUCCAAUCCAUUUUCUAGCAAUUUGCUGAUUUCUCCUCUAAAUACCGUUCCAAAGAAGGAUAUUUCAGACAGAAGGGUUAUUUUAGACUUAAGUAGUGCAACUCGAUGUGCUGUAAACAGUUUCAUUGAUAAAGAUGUUUACUUAGGUGAACAAGUAGCCUUAAUUUUUCCAAAAGUGGAUGAUUUUGCACGUUUAAUAGUUGCCAAAGGUCAAAAUUGCCUUAUGUUUAAGAAGGAUUUAUCCAGAGCCUAUAGACAGAUUUAUAUUUGUCCGGGCAGUUACAAUCUAGUUUCAUAUGUCUGGAAUAAACAUAUUUUCUGUGAUGUUGUAUUGUCCAUGGGUUUGAGAAGCGCGGCUCAAAUUUGCCAACGAGUCACCAAUGCUAUUGCUUUUAUUCUUUUAUCAUUAUCAUUAUCUGUUUUAAACUAUUUAGAUGACUUUGCAGGGGUUGAAAAGCCACAGCAUGCAGAAUUUGCUUACUUGACAUUAGGCCGAGUAUUAGAGAGAGCAGGUAUAAAGGAAUCUGUUAGUAAGAGUUGUCCCCCUUGUCAGAUUAUGUCAUUUCUUGGUGUUUUAUUCAACUCUAACACAAUGACAAUGGAAAUAACACCACAGAGACUAAUUGAAAUUACAGGCCUAAUUAAGUCUUGGUUACAUAAGGAUUCAGCCAAUUUAAAGGAAGUCCAACAAUUGCUUGGUAAACUCAAUUUCAUUGGUGCUUGCGUCAAACCAAGUAGGGUAUUUGUAUCCAGGUUACUUAAUUGGUUGAAAGAAUUGUAUAAUAUGGAAAGGUCAAAGCAGGUGUUAAUUCCAACGGAGGUAAGGAAAGAUUUACUUUGGUGGGAUACUUUCCUACCACUUUACAAUGGAGUUUCCAUGUUAUCAUUAGGUGAUUGGUCAGAGCCUGAUCAAAUUUUCUCAUCUGAUGCAUGUUUAGAUGGCUGCGGGGGUUUCUGGAAUGGAAAAUUUUUCCAUACUCGGUUUCCAAGUAGUAUCUUGGACAAAAAAUUACAUAUAGGUGCUCUGGAGAUGUUAGCCUUGGUAGUUUGUCUACAUCUAUGGGGUGAAAAGUUUAAACAUCACCGAAUAGUGGUCCUAUGUGACAAUCAGUCAGGGUGCAUUACACUCAGCACUGGUAAAUCCAAAUGUACCUUUCUUCAGUCAUGUUUGAGAGAAAUUUGCUUCAUAGCAGCAGUUAAUGAGUUUGAAAUUCGUGCUCAGCAUAUUUGUUCAGAGGAGAACCGUAUUUCAGAUUGUUUAUCAAGAUGGCAUAAGGAUGACAAGUAUAAACAAAUCUUUCACUCAACGGUCAAAGAUUUCAGGUUACAGGAACAUGUAGUUAAAUACUCAGAUUUCCAGUUUUUAAAUGAUUGGUAAUAAAAUUUAAAUUUCAGAGACCCAGAUUAAAGAAUUAAAAGAUGAACUUGCUUACUCAAACCGGAAUGCUUAUGCAGAAGGAUCCAGAAAAAAUUUAAAUAUACAAUGGAAAUCCUUUUUAUUGUUUUGUACUUAUUUUAAACUAUGUGCUAUACCAGUUGAUACAUUAACAUUACAAUUAUAUGCUCAGUUUUUGAGUAGGACAUUUAAAUCUGUCGAUUCAAUUAAAAAUUACAUCAGUGGAGUUAGAAACAUGCACCUAAUCUUAGGAGCUAAAACAGAGCAAAUUAAUAAAUUUUUAUUAAAUUUAUCCUUAAAAGGCAUAGCAAAAUCAAAGUGUCAUAUGGUGAAGCGAGCAGAACCUAUUUUUCCAGGUAUUCUGUUACAGAUUCAUAAAGCUUUAGAUUUUUCAAAGGCUGAUAGUUAUGUUUACUGGUGUCUUUUCCUUUUCGCCUUUUUUCUUUUGGCCAGAAAAUCAAACUUAGUACCCACUUCCAGACAUGAUUUAAUAAAUCCAAAAUUUUUAAUCAGUAGGGAUGUUACGCAAUCCGAGUUAGGACUGUCAGUAACCAUAAAGUGGUCCAAGACCAUUCAGCAAGGGGAAAGAGUGCUUCAGUUCCCUCUGGCACCUAUUCCUCAUUCACCAUUGUGUCCAGUUACAGCCUAUAAUAACAUGAUUUCCUUGAUUCCCAGGUCUCAUGCCUCGCCACUGUUUGUUUUGAAAUCUGGCAAAUUGGUUUCAUACCGUAUGUUCUUGAAACAGUUACGUUUGGUAAUUUUACAGAUAGGCCUGGAUCCUUCCAAGUACUCGACUCAUAGUUUUCGUCGUGGUUUUACAACAUUAGCCUUUCGUUUAAAUUUACCAGCUGACAUUAUUCAAAAUUUGGGGGACUGGAAAUCUGAUUGUUACAAAAAGUACCUAGAAUUUACUUUGUCAGACAAGGUUAGAGUGUCUAAGUUUAUAUCUAGCAACUUACAGAGAGGCAUUUUUGAAGCAGAUGGGUUUUCAAAAUGUUGAGUCUUAUUUUCAUGAUACGAGUGUUUGUCUUCGACCUUAAGAAGGGGAGACGAUCCUACUUACAGUGGCAUUUUUGACAUCACUGGGUAGGAUCACGUGGUUCUGUUUAUCAUGUUUUAAGACUUUUCAGAUUGUAUACUCAUUUGCGUUAUGUUUAUUGUCUAAGUAUAGAUUAGAUUAUGAAAGUGUAUAUAUAGUUUUAAAUUAUUUCCUAUGAUAGUCAGAAUAGUUACUUAGGCAUGUCCAGUGUACACUUGACAGCAAACUGAGAAGCAAACUCAGUUCGAAAGUAAAGACAGUUCUAAUUAUUUGUUUUACUCAUAUUGUCUUUAUAAUUAUUUAAUUUAAUGUGAUGAUUAAUUAUGCAUGUUUUUAAUACUUGUUUUUUCUUUGCAGACUGUCACAAAAUCCGUAAAGUUCUCAUUGUUGGGGAUUCCAUAGUGAAGCAUUUACCACAUAUUGAAGGUGAUACUAAUUUGUCUUUUAGGGGGGCAACUAUAGGGAUUCUAUGAAGUUAAACAGUUUGUACAAGAGAAUUUACUGUAUAAGAGGUAGGCUAUCAUGUUGAACUGUUGCUAUUUGUUUUUACUGCAUUGUGUUCCAUUACAGCUUAUUUGCAUUUGUAUUUACUAAGGAUACAUGAGAUUCAAAAACUAUAUAUAUAAAAUUUUUGGAAACUAUUUGAAGAUCUUUUUAUAGAGACAGAUUUGUGUCUCCAGGCAUAACUUUAUCAGUUCAGUUACACAAGCUACAUUCAUCAUUCAUUACUAUUUAUGAAUUUCAUGUAAUCUUAUAUUAAUCUUAACCACCUUUUGGCUUAUGACAAGUAUCCCUUAUGUUUUGAUAUGAUUGCUUGCCUUACCAAAUUUGCCUUGACUUUGUUUGCGUUGUCUUGCUUGCUUGCCUUAUAAUUUUGCCUUUAUUGCCUUGUUUAUUUGUGUCGUUUGCUUCAUGUUUAUUUGCCUAUGUUUUGCUUGUUUUGGCUGUAAUUUGGCGGUUUUCAGUAUAUAUUUAUAUAAUUGAUAAUUAAAUUGAUACACGUGUGAUUAUAUUUGGCAUUAAAAUUCAUAUUUAUUAUUUGUCGUUUUCAUUUCCCUUAUUGAAGGAGCUAAUUGGUUUAUUUUAAGGUUUAACUUUAAAAUAUUUAAUUAGCGAGUGAUAACUCUUGCUAUACAUGUUUACUUACUCUUGUCUGUAAUUACCUUUCUUGAAAAUGGUUAGAAUAAACCAGUCCAUAAUUUUUGAGUUAUUAAAUUUCAUUGGUCGUAGUUCUGAAUUACAUUUUGUUUCAUACUUUUUGAUUGGUUUAGUCUUGGCGCAUUAGACUGUAUUUCCCCGCGGUUUCUGACGUAGUGUGAGGCCAGGCCUUUGUUUAGAAGUAACUCUUUUCUUCACUGUUGUUUUUGUCUUUGAACUGAUCACACGUUCUUUUUCGAAAAACCCUCCCACCCUCC